rnacentral:rRNA from 1 species
GCCUACGGGACGCAGCAGUGAGGAAUAUUGGUCAAUGGGCUUACGCCUGAACCAGCCAAGUCGCGUGAGGGAAGACUGCCCUAUGGGUUGUAAACCUCUUUUGUCAGGGAGCAACGCCGGCUACGUGUAGCCGGACUGAGAGUACCUGAAGAAAAAGCAUCGGCUAACUCCGUGCCAGCAGCCGCGGUAAUACGGAGGAUGCGAGCGUUAUCCGGAUUUAUUGGGUUUAAAGGGUGCGUAGGCGGAAUGCCAAGUCAGCGGUAAAAUCGCGGGGCUGAACCUCGCUACGCCGUUGAAACUGGCGU